AACGUAGGGUGCAAGCGUUUCUCGGAAUCACUGGGCGUAAAGGGCGUGUAGGCUGCUGAGCAAGUCGCGUGUGAAAGCCCUCGGCUCAACCGAGGAAUUGCGCGCGAAACUGCUUGGCUAGAGGACGGUAGGGGACAGUGGAACUCCAGGUGGAGCGGUGAAAUGCGUAGAGAUCUGGAGGAACGCCGGAGGCGAAAGCGACUGUCUGGGCCGUUCCUGACGCUGAGGCGCGAAAGCUAGGGGAGCAAACGGG
rnacentral:rRNA from 1 species